AGCGAACGCUGGCGGCAGGCUUAACACAUGCAAGUCGAGCGGGCCCUUCGGGGUCAGCGGCGGACGGGUGAGUAACGCGUGGGAACGUGCCUUCUGGUCUGGAAUAACCCUGGGAAACUAGGGCUAAUACCGGAUACGCCCUUUUGGGGAAAGGUUUACUGCCGGAAGAUCGGCCCGCGUCUGAUUAGCUAGUUGGUGGGGUAACGGCCUACCAAGGCGACGAUCAGUAGCUGGUCUGAGAGGAUGAUCAGCCACACUGGAACUGAGACACGGCCCAGACUCCUACGGGAGGCAGCAGUGGGGAAUAUUGGACAAUGGGCGCAAGCCUGAUCCAGCCAUGCCGCGUGAGUGAUGAAGGCCUUAGGGUUGUAAAGCUCUUUUAUCCGGGACGAUAAUGACGGUACCGGAGGAAUAAGCCCCGGCUAACUUCGUG
rnacentral:rRNA from 1 species